rnacentral:rRNA from 1 species
UAUCAAUAAGCGGAGCAAAAGGGUCCCUGCAUAGCACUAAGCUGGAACAUAGAGAGGAUCCCUGCCUUGCAUUUGGCCUAUUCGAUCUAUGUUCCUUGCGAACAGGACGUCACAGAGGGUGAGAAUCCCGUGCGAUGAGGUGUCCAUUUCUAUGUAAGAUGUUUUCGAAGAGUCGAGUUGUUUGGGAAUGCAGCUCUAAGUGGGUGGUAAAUUCCAUCUAAAGCUAAAUAUUGGCGAGAGACCGAUAGCGAACAAGUACAGUGAUGGAAAGAUGAAAAGAACUUUGAAAAGAGAGUGAAAAAGUACGUGAAAUUGUUGAAAGGGAAGGGUAUUANAUCAGACUUGGUAUUUAGUUAUCAUUACUCCUUGUGGGUGGUGCUCUAACUUUUUACUGGGCCAGCAUCAGUUUUGGUGGCAGGGUAAUGACAUUUGAAUGUGCCUCCUCCCACUGAUAUAGCUUUUGUUGAUACUGCCUAUCGAAACUGAGGUCUGGGGCCUAUGCCCUCUGAACCUGGCGGGCUGCCCCUAUACC